rnacentral:rRNA from 1 species
CCUACGGGAGGCAGCAGUGAGGAAUAUUGGUCAAUGGGCGCUAGCCUGAACCAGCCAAGUAGCGUGAAGGAUGACUGCCCUAUGGGUUGUAAACUUCUUUUAUAUGGGAAUAAAGUGCAGUAUGUAUACUGCUUUGCAUGUACCUUAUGAAUAAGGAUCGGCUAACUCCGUGCCAGCAGCCGCGGUAAUACGGAGGAUCCGAGCGUUAUCCGGAUUUAUUGGGUUUAAAGGGAGCGUAGGCGGGUUGUUAAGUCAGUUGUGAAAGUUUGCGGCUCAACCGUAAAAUUGCAGUUGAUACUGGCAUCCUUGAGUACAGUAGAGGUAGGCGGAAUUCGUGGUGUAGCGGUGAAAUGCUUAGAUAUCACGAAGAACUCCGAUUGCGAAGGCAGCCUGCUGGACUGUAACUGACGCUGAUGCUCGAAAGUGUGGGUAUCAAACA